AACCCAUGAUGAGGGCACCGCCUCAAUAGAUCUUUGUAUCUCUCCCAUGCAUCAUAUAAAGUCUGUACAUCGAUCUGAACAAAGGAAGAGAUGUCAUUCCUCAACUU
rnacentral:snoRNA from 1 species